AAAAAAGGAAAAUUUCUGGGGGGAAAAAGCACAAAAACAAAAACUUUACUGUUUUCAUUGGAUUUUGAGUGAUUUUAAAUUUCUUUUCAACCUCUGAAAUUCCUUCGAACCACUUGUGGAAAUGGAUUGAGCUUAGUCAUCAAAAACUUGGUUUAAAGUUUGGUUGGAUCUUGGGUUAUUUGAUAUUUAUUACUUGAAGCUGGUUAUAUAUCAUUACUGGGGUUUUGAGCUGUUUUGGCUGACUGCUUGUUGCUGACUCCUGCUGUAUAUAUGCUAAUUAUUCACCCCUAUUUUCUUUCAAAUUUUUAGGUACCUUCUUAGAUCAUGAUUGAGGAUUGAGUGUUAAACAUGUAAUAGAGCUGAAGUUUUGUUAAAUGAAGCCCCAAUUUGAAGCUGAUUUCCCUUUUCCUUUUACUAUUUCCAUGUCCUGUAAUUAGAUUUCUACUUAUAGAUGUUAAUUAAGGUUUCUUUCUCUUCUCUGAAAUUGGUUAUGUGAAUUUGACUUGCAGUAGCAUUUUGCAUCUGUAUCAAUAAGUGAACAGUGGACUUUAAUCAUUCAGAUUCAUGUUUGAUAUUGUGUUCUGGGUUAUAGCAGUUGUUAGUUUCUUGUUGAGAAUCAUUCAGGUUCAGGUCUUGCAGGCUGAAUAUUGGACUAUAUGUGUAUUAGUUUAUGCAAAUGAAGUUUUGUGAGCAUGACUGUCAUGAGUUUUAGAUUUAAGAUUCAUGCUUAAAUUAUUCCUAUAAAUGACGUUAGUUAGAAGGUUGAUUCCAGUCAUGAUAAAUCUAAGAGAGAGAAUCAGAAAGAUCGUUGAUUACAUCGCGACGAAGUGCAAUAGUUGUGAAGCUAUGACUAGUUCAUGUUCUUUUCCGCCGCAAUGAACUUUGUCUGCCAGGUAAUGGAAGACCUCCACCACCUCCAAGGGGAUUUAGCAAGCAGGCCUGUGGAGAUACUCAAUGAUUGCCCCGUGAGCCCAGGAGCAUUAGAGGCACUAAUGUAUUCAUAAUCUUCAC
rnacentral:lncRNA from 1 species